GCAGGGAGGGUGCUAGUGCUCCAGGAAGGAAGGUUGGGGGGAAAAGUCUCUGGCUCCCCUGUUUGCUGAGAAAUUAAUAUUACCAAGCAUGAAGAGAGCCCCAUGGGCCAAGUGGGCAGAGGACAGGAGGAGUGCCAAGCUCAAGGACCGUGAGAACCGCGAGGAGGAUGAAGAUGAGAACAGGUCCGAAAGGAGAAAAGCCCUUCCUGCGAGGGCUAAGGAAGAUGACCAGGAUGAUGACGACAGCGGUGGUGACAGAGGCAGUGAGGAAGAGAAUGAGGAGGAAGGAUUGCGAAUAUUGAAUUCAAGUCACAAGCUGAUGCAGAGAGAACCUUGGAAGAGAAGCAGAGAACAACAGAGAUUGAUGGGUUUGCCAUAGUUUUGGAUCAUAUUAGAGAGAAAAGCCAAGGCUGAGAAAAUAGAGAUGGAAAAAGCAGCACCUGGAGAGCUUCUUUUGAUACAUCAGAAAAUCUGAUGAUGCCAAGGCUACGUUCCUACAUGUCGGCAGUCAGCUGGAGAUGACGAGCAGCUGCUUCCUUUUUCGGAUGGUAUUUGAUCAUGUUUGCUAGCAACGCCCCCCUCCCCCAGUCCAAGAGUCUCCUCCAUACUAAAGGCAUGAACAGCACACUUACGCUUUUUUUUUUUUUUUUU